rnacentral:rRNA from 1 species
UACAGAGGUCUCAAGCGUUGUUCGGAUUCAUUGGGCGUAAAGGGCGCGUAGGCUGCGGGGUAAGUCGGGUGUGAAAUCUCAGAGCUCAACUCUGAAACUGCACUCGAUACUGCUUUGCUUGAGGACUGGAGAGGAGAUUGGAAUUCACGGUGUAGCAGUGAAAUGCGUAGAUAUCUGGAGGAACACCGGUGGCGAAGGCGGCAUCCUGGACCAACACUGACGCUGAGGAGCGAAAGCCAGGGGAGCAAACGGG